UUUCAUAAUUGGAUUUUUGAAAGUCAUGUAUCAACACAUGCAUGGAUGGAAGGUGUUAUCAUGUUCUUUAAUCCAUCUAGUACCUUGCUAUCAUGGUUAUGUAUAAUUUCCUUUUAUAGAUUCGUUAUGCAUUUGAACUUUUGACAAAUGCUUUAUGGAAGAGUGAUUAUGACCUUUUUGGCAUUGAUGAACACUCUGAAUCCUUUCUUGUUGGAGAAUUUCAAGUUUUAGUUACUAGUAUGAUCGAACUCCCAAUUAUUAAUUCAUCUUCACUUGGUAUGUUCAUUGUUCUACUGAUGCAAAAAUGUCAGCAUGUGCAUAUGAGGUAUGCUGAGUGAUAUGACCAAAGUUCAUUUCUAUUGUCGGGAAAUCAAAGCCUUCGCUCAUACAAGU